GUGGGUCAGCCACGUCGCCGCGCCCGGGCUUCCCCGCGGGCCCGCCGGUCCGGAAGGUCGGCCCGGGGCUCUUUUCUCCGCUGUUCUCCUUCUCUGGCGCCCCCAGGACACGCGGCCAGUGGACGCCCGGAACGGCCGACCGGGAGUCGCGGCUGGGGAUGGAAGCUGGAAUUGGGGGUGCGGGAUGGAGCGGAGAGAGGAGGCCCCGCGCGCCGUCGGCCGCCUCAUUUCAGACUCCCCUGCGACCCCCCCCCCGCCGCCAGCCGAAGCCCGGGCCGCCCAGCCCCUCCUGCCGCUGCGGGACGCCGAAGGUAGCGCUCACAUCCGCGCCUUCCGGGCCUGGCGCCCACGUGCGGAGUCCCCGGGUUAGGAAAGGCCGCGCAUCCGGAGGCCACGCAGAGCCUCGGGGCUUGCGCAGAGGGGCUGCGGUGAGUCCUGACCCUGAGUGGGGGUCACGGGGCUCGUUGCUCGCUGAAGUGAACACGGUUGCAGCUGUGCACAGUGGCGGAGGGAGAGGAUGAGGGACUCUGACCCAAGGUUAUGUGGCAGUGAGGGGCAAGCAGAAAUGGGGGCCUCCGGACCCCACCCCGAGACAGGGCUGCUGGCCGCUGCACUAUGCUGAAUAUAGCCCAAAUUCUUACAUGGGUCGUCCCCGGGGAAUGCUCAUUUUUCAGGCUCCAGAGCUUGAGAGAAAGUGCGAACCCGGUCCCUGAGCAGGUCUGAUUCCCAUGGCCCCUUCGCCAUCUGCUCUGCACCGAAAUUGGAUUCUCCUACGCAGAGGAGAAGGUGGAGAAGAUUCUCCGUCUUCCGGAGGGUAGCUACUGCCGGUAGCUCCGAUUUCCUUCGGAUCCCCUUUCAAGGGCAAGCAGAAGGAAAUCAGUUUCUCCAAAGAAAGUGGCCCGGCUGAGUAAGUGGGAACAAGGUGGUUGGACUGAGGCACGGGAUCCUUUAGCUCCGUUGCUCUUCUAAUCCCGUGGCCCUGGGCACCGCCACUUCCUCCUCUGAACUGCUGGAAUAAUCACUUCUGACUAGCAGAGUUACUGGGAGCCGCUGUUUGUCAGUGUUCACAUUCUGACUUUAGCAGGAGAUGGAGCGAGCGAAGGAGUGAAGCCCUUGUUUGUGAACAGUGAUUGUUUCCCGGAUGACAGCCAGAUGCCGGGCAGGGCCACGCAGAUCUUAGCUGGAGCCUACAGGUUGGGUUUCAGCCGAGCAAGUCUGAGGCCCCUUUCCCGCGCCCUCUGGUGGAAAGUGUUCGCUUUUCUGUCCACCCAUGUGAAGGAUUCACCCCGACCCUCCUCAGGUGGCCUUUACUUUGCAGGAGCAAAGCAAGUUGGAUGAGGAGAUACAUGUAUGUGGCACACAGCUUUCUUCACUUAGCAACACGUCAGAUGCAGCGUAGAUGUGCGGAUGAAACCACCAUUGCAAAAUUAUCACUGAGACAGUCAGAGAAACCUGACAUGGCUGACUCCAUGUUGCUUUUAGCCUCACAGGCUGGCUCUCUUAGCUCAUUCCUAAGCAUGGGCCUGAAACUGCCAUUGCAAAAUCGUAACUGAGACAGCAAAAGAGACUUGACCUAACCAACUCCAUCUUGCUUCUAACCUCCAAGCUGUCCUUGUUCAUUCCUGGGUGUAGGCUGAACUAACUUUGGGAGGAACUUAAUUUAUAGUUUAAAACAAAGACGAUAAGACGAUAACAGCCCUUUCUCAAAACAAACAUCCUUCCUGACUGGGGACUAGACUGCCUUUGUAGGAUUAACAAAUUAGCCACAAGAUCAGAAAUUAUAGUUUAGGAGUCAUGCAGCUGGAGGCUCUAAGAUUGUGACCCUCCCUAAACCGCUCAGUGCUUGAGAUGUUUUACAGACCCUGCACUUAAUGGAUCAGCUGGCACCACCCAGAUGGAUAAACUGGCUCAUGUGAUCUUGUGGCCCCCACCCAGGAACUGACUCAGUGCAAGAAGACAACUUCAAUUCCCUAUGAUUUAAUGUCCUACCGAAUCAAUCAGCACUCCUGACACACUGGCUUCCCCUCACCCACCAAAUUGUCCUUAAAACCUCUGAUCUCCAAAUGCUUGAGGAGACUGAUUUGAGUAAUAAUAAAACAAGGCUCCUGCACAGCCGGCUCUGCGCGAAUUACUCUUUCUCUACUGCAGUUCUCCUGUCAUGAUAAAUCGGCUCCAUCUAGGCAGCCAGCAAGGUGAACCCACUGGGUGGUUACAGGCCACGCUAAGUUCGGGAGAAAUUUAGUUUAUGGUUUAAAUGAUAACAGCCCUUCCCCAAAACUAAACUGCCCUGGUAAAACUAAUGAAAGGCCGCCAAGUUAGGAGGAUGACAGGGGCCUGAAUUCUACUGAGCCGUAAGCGUAAUUACCGGCCAUUAUUCCAGAGGACACAAGAUUUGCAACUUGCCUAAUUACUCCUGCAAAGAACAUCGCUACUGUAGCACCUGAGAAUGGCCUUUUGAGAUGUGUUUUCAGGCUUUUGCACUUCUGACAACUGAUGGCUGCACUUGGACUCGCCAGCCGGUCCCGCGUCCCCACCAGAAGCAGAGUAAGCACAAGAGGACAGCUCCGACUCCCUAGGAUUUCAGCUCUGACCAGUCGCACGCCUGGCUCACUGGCUUCCCCACACCCACCAAGUUGUUCUUAAAAACUCUGCUGCCCGAAUGCUCAGGGAGAGUGAUUUGAGUAAUAAUGAAACUGUUGUCUCCUGCACAGUCGGCUCUGCGUGAAUUACUCUUUCUCUAUUGCAAUUCCGCUCUCUUGAGAAAUCGGCUCUGUCCAGGCAGCAGCAAGGUGAAGCCACUGGGCGGUUACACUGAUAUGAUUCCCCCUUUGCAGUUUUUACUCUCUUGGUGCUGCAAACAGUUCCUCACUGAGGACCCUUGUACACGUAUCACUGUGAGCAUGAAUCCGAAUUUCUUUAGGAGACAUACAUACUAGUGGGUAUGUGCAUGUUAUGUAAUUUCUCUUAGCACUGUUUCCUCACUCAUCAAAUAAGGAUCAAGUAGUUCUCACCACACAGGGUUAUUUUAGAAAUAAUUUAGUAUACAUAAUAUACAAUGCAAUAACAAGUACUGAUGUCUACUUCUUUUAGGUUAUAUGAUAAUACCUUAUACAUAGUACAUGUGUGAUUAUAUAUAUUGCAAUGUAGAGUACGAUCUAUAAUUUACAGAACUGUUGUUUAUAUAUAACAAAUGCUGUCCUUGCGAUAGUUUGCUCAGAAUGAUGGUUUAUGUAUACAUAUGUAACAAACCUGCACGUUGUGCACACGUACCCUAGAACUUAAAGUAUAAUUUUAAAAAAUGCUAUAAUUCAUGUGGUGAUUAUUAUCUACCAGUUACAUCAUCGAUAGAAUGAGGACGUUGUUAACGGUACACGCCAGACAGGAUGGCUGUGAGGAUCUGUGAUAAUAAGAAUUAGAUAUUUGGUCUUUGUCCCUGUUUCCUGAUGGAGGCUUCUAAACCCCUUGGAAUUCCCUGACUGAUAGGGGCAAGAGGAAAUCUUUUGUUAUUCCUAACGAGCCCCUUUCAUCCAUGCCUGUGUUUAUGCUAAUGAGGUGACUCCUGGAGGAUGAGGGCUGGUUGCCAGGGGAAUCAACUUUGCCUUGCAACUUUCAGCUCCAGUCCGUGACUUCCAGGGAAAGAACAGGGGCUGGAGAUUGAGUUUAAUCGCCAAUGACCAGUGAUUUGAUCAUUCAUGCUUAAAUAAUGGAACCAUAAGAAACCUAAAGAAAAGGUUUGGAGAGCUGCUGGGUUCAGGAGCACAUUCGUGUGCUGGGAGGGUGUUGUGCCUGGUGAAGGUGUGGAAGCGCUGACUCUGCCUCGCAUACCUUGUCCUGUCUGUGUCUUUCAUCUGGCUGUUGCUGAGUUGUGCUGUUUAUAAUAAUAAACUGGUAACAGGAAGUAAAGCA